rnacentral:rRNA from 1 species
UACGUAGGGUGCGAGCGUUGUCCGGAAUUAUUGGGCGUAAAGAGCUCGUAGGCGGUGUGUCGCGUCGGCCGUGAAAACCUGGGGCUCAACUCUGGGCGUGCGGUCGAUACGGGCAUCACUUGAGUUCGGCAGGGGAGACUGGAAUUCCUGGUGUAGCGGUGAAAUGCGCAGAUAUCAGGAGGAACACCGGUGGCGAAGGCGGGUCUCUGGGCCGAUACUGACGCUGAGGAGCGAAAGCGUGGGGAGCGAACAGGAUUAGAA